rnacentral:rRNA from 1 species
GAUGAACGCUGGCGGCGUGCCUAAUACAUGCAAGUCGAGCGAACGGACGAGAAGCUUGCUUUUCUGAUGUUAGCGGCGGACGGGUGAGUAACACGUGGAUAACCUACCUAUAAGACUGGGAUAACUUCGGGAAACCGGAGCUAAUACCGGAUAAUAUUUUGAACCGCAUGGUUCAAAAGUGAAAGACGGUCUUGCUGUCACUUAUAGAUGGAUCCUCGCUGCAUUAUCUAGUUGGUAAGGUAACGGCUUACCAGGGCAACGAGGCAUAGCCGACCUGAGAGGGUGAUCGGCCACACUGGAACUGAGACACGGUCCAGCCUCCUACGGGAGGCAGCAGUAGGGAAUCUUCCGCAAUGGGCGAAAGCCUGACGGAGCAACGCCGCGUGAGUGAUGAAGGUCUUCGGAUCUUAAAACUCUGUUAUUAGGGAAGAACAUAUGUGUAAGUAACUGUGCACAUCUUGACGGUACCUAGUCAGAAAGCCACGGCUAACUACGUG